UACGUAGGGUCCGAGCGUUGUCCGGAAUUACUGGGCGUAAAGAGCUCGUAGGUGGUUUGUCGCGUUGUUCGUGAAAACUCGGGGCUCAACCCCGAGCCUGCAGUCGAUACGGGCAGACUAGAGUGCUGUAGGGGAGACUGGAAUUCCUGGUGUAGCGGUGAAAUGCGCAGAUAUCAGGAAGAACACUAUGGCGAAGGCAGCACUCUGGGACGGUACUGACGGCUGAGACGCGAAAGCGUGGGGAGCAAACAGG
rnacentral:rRNA from 1 species